rnacentral:rRNA from 1 species
UGCAGUCGAGCGACGUGACCAGAAGCUUGCUUCUCUGAUGUUAGCGGCGGACGGGUGAGUAACACGUGGAUAACCUACCUAUAAGACUGGGAUAACUUCGGGAAACCGGAGCUAAUACCGGAUAAUAUUUUGAACCGCAUGGUUCAAAAGUGAAAGACGGUCUUGCUGUCACUUAUAGAUGGAUCCGCGCUGCAUUAGCUAGUUGGUAAGGUAACGGCUUACCAAGGCAACGAUGCAUAGCCGACCUGAGAGGGUGAUCGGCCACACUGGAACUGAGACACGGUCCAGACUCCUACGGGAGGCAGCAGUAGGGAAUCUUCCGCAAUGGGCGAAAGCCUGACGGAGCAACGCCGCGUGAGUGAUGAAGGUCUUCGGAUCGUAAAACUCUGUUAUUAGGGAAGAACAUAUGUGUAAGUAACUGUGCACAUCUUGACGGUACCUAAUCAGAAAGCCACGGCUAACUACGUGCCAGCAGCCGCGGUAAUACGUAGGUGGCAAGCGUUAUCCGGAAUUAUUGGGCGUAAAGCGCGCGUAGGCGGUUUUUUAAGUCUGAUGUGAAAGCCCACGGCUCAACCGUGGAGGGUCAUUGGAAACUGGAAAACUUGAGUGCAGAAGAGGAAAGUGGAAUUCCAUGUGUAGCGGUGAAAUGCGCAGAGAUAUGGAGGAACACCAGUGGCGAAGGCGACUUUCUGGUCUGUAACUGACGCUGAUGUGCGAAAGCGUGGGGAUCAAACAGGAUUAGAUACCCUGGUAGUCCACGCCGUAAACGAUGAGUGCUAAGUGUUAGGGGGUUUCCGCCCCUUAGUGCUGCAGCUAACGCAUUAAGCACUCCGCCUGGGGAGUACGACCGCAAGGUUGAAACUCAAAGGAAUUGACGGGGACCCGCACAAGCGGUGGAGCAUGUGGUUUAAUUCGAAGCAACGCGAAGAACCUUACCAAAUCUUGACAUCCUUUGACAACUCUAGAGAUAGAGCUUUCCCCUUCGGGGGACAAAGUGACAGGUGGUGCAUGGUUGUCGUCAGCUCGUGUCGUGAGAUGUUGGGUUAAGUCCCGCAACGAGCGCAACCCUUAAGCUUAGUUGCCAUCAUUAAGUUGGGCACUCUAAGUUGACUGCCGGUGACAAACCGGAGGAAGGUGGGGAUGACGUCAAAUCAUCAUGCCCCUUAUGAUUUGGGCUACACACGUGCUACAAUGGACAAUACAAAGGGCAGCGAAACCGCGAGGUCAAGCAAAUCCCAUAAAGUUGUUCUCAGUUCGGAUUGUAGUCUGCAACUCGACUACAUGAAGCUGGAAUCGCUAGUAAUCGUAGAUCAGCAUGCUACGGUGAAUACGUUCCCGGGUCUUGUACACACCGCCCGUCACACCACGAGAGUUUGUAACACCCGAAGCCGGU